rnacentral:rRNA from 1 species
ACGAAACGCCGGGGAGGCCUUGCGCCCCCGGGCCCGCGCCCGCCGAAGACCCCAACAUGAACGCUGUUCUGAAAGUAUGCAGUCUGAGUUGAUUAUCGUAAUCAGUUAAAACUUUCAACAACGGAUCUCUUGGUUCCGGCAUCGAUGAAGAACGCAGCGAAAUGCGAUAAGUAAUGUGAAUUGCAGAAUUCAGUGAAUCAUCGAGUCUUUGAACGCACAUUGCGCCCCCUGGUAUUCCGGGGGGCAUGCCUGUCCGAGCGUCAUUGCUGCCCUCAAGCACGGCUUGUGUGUUGGGCCCCCGUCCCCCUCUCCCGGGGGACGGGCCCGAAAGGCAGCGGCGGCACCGCGUCCGGUCCUCGAGCGUAUGGGGCUUUGUCACCUGCUCUGUAGGCCCGGCCGGCGCCAGCCGACACCCAACUUUAUUUUUCUAAGGUUGACCUCGGAUCAGGUAGGGAUACCCGCUGAACUUAAGCAUAUCAAUA